AAAUUUGUGACUUGAUGGUUCUCUUGUAUGCUUGGCAUGCGCUUCCAGGAUUAAUUGACCUCUGCUGCUCCUUCCUUAUUCGAAAGUUGCUAUAUAAUGGAUUAAACAUCUCAUUCUUUACCUUCUCUUUUCCUGUAAAACGUAAAAUUGCAAUAGGUUCAACAUAAAGCCAUAUUGAAUUCGAUAUUAGCAAACGUCACUCUUUAAAAUUAACAAUGGAUUCUUUAGGACAACUGAGUUAUACAACAUAAAUUGAAUGGUCAACAGAAAUCAAUCUGAUAACUUCCCACAUACUUGUUUAUAUGAUAUGUUCUUUAACUUUACCAACAAAAAAAAAAGAUAAAGGUUUCAAAGCUGCACAAUUAAGAAAAUAUAUGUUAUGUGAGAUACAAAAACACACUGACAAGAAAAAUAUAAAUUAAAGCCAAGAUAUGUAUGGUUCCAACUUCCAAUAAGUAUGCCAUCUCAAAUUGCCCGAUGAAUCGAAGCAUCAUUAUACAUUAAAACAGGCACAUUGGAACGAGCCGCCCGGUUUUUUGAGAGUUGCAGCCUCGUUACCCUAUUUACUACUCAUUGUAUGUUUAACAGUUUUUAUGUGACUUGCCGGGAUAGUUGGUUCAGUUCCGAGGAUGUUUCGGAAUGAGUUGAGACACUUAAUUUCAAGGUUGGAAGCUUAAGUUGAAAAGGUUGACCGGAUGUUGACUUAUGUGUAAACGAUUCAGGAAUGGAGUUUUGAUGGUUCCGUUAGCUCCAUUGGGUGAUUUUGAACUUAAGAAUGUGUCCGAAUAGUGAGUUGGAAGUAUGUAGUUGAAUUAGGCUUGAAAUGGCGAAAGUUGAAAAAUUAGAAGCUUUGGAAAUUUAAAAGUUUGACCGAGAGUCAACUUUAUGGUUACCGAGCUCGAAUUUGGGUUCCGGGAGUUGGAGUAGGUCCGUUGUGUCUUUUGUAACUUGUGUGCAAAAUUUGAAGUCAAUCGGACUUGAUUUUAUAGGUUCAGUGUCGAAUGUAGAAGUUGAAAAUACAUAAGUGCAUUAGGCUUGAAUCGAGGCGCGAUUCGUGUUUUAGUGUUGUUUGAUGUGAUUUGAAGACUCAACUAAGUUCGUAUCAUAUUUUAGGACUUGUUGGUGUGUUUGGUUGAGCUCCCGAGGGUCUCGGGUAGAUUUCGGAUAGUUAACGGAUCCAUUUUUUGACUUAGAGAUUGGCAGAAGUUUAAUGGUGUCUCUGAUCUGGUUUCCUUAGAUGCGAUUGUGUGGACAGGUCUGCGAUCGGUAGGCUUAAUUGCUCAGUGGAGGACUUUGCUCUACACAUUCGUAAAAAGAGGGUUGCAAUCGCGUAGCUUAGAGAAACGAUGCAUCACGAACGCGCGAGCAAGGCCGCGUUCCCGUGCGUUCGCGAAGAGGAAAUGAGGUAGGAGCUGAGUCACGCGUUGUUCUUUGCGCUCGCGUGAAGAGGGUCGUGGUCGCAUAGGUCUGAGGAGGUAGUGGUUCGCAUUCACAGGAGUAAUGUUGUGUUCGCGUAAGGUUAAAUCUUUUGGCAGCUGAGUUGUGCUUCACAAUCGCGAAAAAUUUUCCACGAUCGUGAUGAAGGGUCAUCCCGGUAGAACUUAUAUAUUUCAAAACGAGGGUUUGAGUUCAUAUCACAAAUUUGGUAAGUGAUUCUUACCUAGUUUAGUUAAAUUUCAUGUUUACGUCUUUGAUUUUAUCAUUUAAUUAGUGAUUUGAGUUGGAAAAUUGGGGGAAAAUGGAGUAAAGUUCUUAGGCCGAAUUAUGGGGAUUUGAUCGAGAUGUUGGUAUCGGAUUUGAGUAAUUUUGGUAUGGGUGGACUCGUGGUUGAAUGGGCGUCCUGAUUUUGUGACAUUUAUUGGAUUCUGAGAUGUGGGUCCGGGAAUUAACUUUUGAGUUGACUUUUUGAAUUUUGAUUAAGAACUUAGUAAUUUCAUAUGGAAUUGAUUCCUUUAGCCCGUGUUGAUUGUAUCGAAUUGCUUGUGGCUAGAUUGGAGGCAUUCGGAGGUCGUUUCGCGAGGCAAUGGCGUGUUGGAGUAGACAUUUGCACUUCUAAACUUAGUUCUGAGGGUAUGAAACCUCAAAUUACAUGUUAUGUGAUUAUUGUUGAGGUGACGUACAUGCUAGGUGACGAGCGUGUGAGCGUGCACCGUAAGAAUUGAGACUUGGUCGAUUCCAUGGAACUGUAUAGUUGCAUAAUCUUACUGUUACCCAUAUUUUCACCAUGUGUUAGAGCAAUUGAGCUGCCAGUCAUGUUAGAAAUCCCACUUAGGCUCCGUGUUGGUACUAUUGGGACCUACCGAGGUUGUGUUACAUGUUGAAUUAUUUGAUUAAUUUGUCAAAUUAUACUCAAUCACAACUAUUAUUUGCAUAAUAUAUCUCAAUCUCUAUUGUCCUUUAUUUGAUACAUCAUGUCAUCAUUGUUUAAGCUAAUUCUCAUGAUUCUUGUGAACCCGAGAGACUAGAGAGAUUAAUGACUGAGGGUCUUUUGUGAGUGAUUUUCAUGGAAUCGGGCUACACGUUGCAGCAGACUUUAUUGAUUCAUGCCAGAAUUUGGCUUAUUAUAGCGCUUCGGCUGGAUCGGCCCCUCCAGAGUCUGCACAUCCACAAUGGGCGGAAUGCUAGUAGCUAAUUACAUUUGGGCUGGAUAUGCCCUAGUUUAUUUGCAUUUUGGGAUGGAUCUGCCCUGGGCUGAAGUUGCCUUGUUUUGCGUUGAGUUUUAUUGAAAAACCUGAAAGCAUGUCUAAAUUCUUGUACCUUUACUUGUAGAUUAUAAAUUUCUAAGAUAUCACUGUCAUAUUUGUUGUAAGUUUCUGUACUGUUGAUACUGCAUGUGGACUGUAUUACUCAAACUCGUCAUUACUUUCAGUCCAAAUGUUAGAUUUGUUACUUAAUGAGUUGGUUGUACUUACGCUACACAUACACCUCAUGAGCAGAUCCAGGUAUUUCCGGUAACAGCGGUUGUUGAUUCUCAGAGUUCAGACAUUCGGAGAUCAUCGAGGUAGCCGCUUUGGUGUCCGCUCGCCUUGACUCUCCUUCCUAUCUUUCAGUUUAUUUAAUUAGUUCUACUUUCUAGACAGUGUACCAGACUAUGCCAUUAUGUAGAUGCUCAUGUACCCAGUGAUCCCCCGAUUUUGAAAAAACUUAUGUAUUGAGUUAUGAUAUUCUAUCCUGUUUUAUGAGAAUUUUUUAUUUAUUUAGACUGUUGAAGUAUAUUUCAAAGAUUAAAAGUGUUGGACAUGUCUGAGUAGUCGGCUUGCCUAGUUCCACGAUAGGCGUCAUCAUGACUGGUUAGGUUUUAGCUCGUAACACACAUGCAGGGGCGGAGCUAUAAUUUUGUUUACAAGUUUGGCACAACCCGGUACCUUUGACCCAGACCCUAUUGUUGUAUUUAGAAAACCACUAAAUAUGUAAAUAUAAUUUAUCAAGAACAUAAUAAGCUACCUUUUGUAGAAUCCAAAACCAAUAAACCCAAGAUCUUAGCUCAGCCUCUGGGCACUGGCAAAUAGGUACAGAACCAGUGUAAGCAAUGAAUCCUGCAUACACAGAAAUGAAUUAUUACACACUUGACAGUUGAGACUAAGGCGGAUAAGCCAGACAAGAACGACGAUUUGAAUGUAUGAGCAAUAGUAAAAUGAAGCAUACUAAGCAUGCCAAAUCUGUCUUUUAUCAAAUUCAAUCAUCUUCAAAGGUUAAUGAAGCAGACCAAGAAUGAUAACAAAGGUUAAUUAGGGUCCUAAUUAACACAAGGUGUGAGAAAUGAAGAGAAAAAAAUACAGAUUGCAUGGCGUACUAAUCUGGGGAAAACAUCCACAAAGGUUUCAUUUGUUCAUUAAUAUGCAUAUAUUUGUGACUUAAUCUAAACCUAGCCUUUAGUUAUUUCACAAAGAUCAAAUAUAAAUCAUCUUAAUUGCUUUCUCAUUAACACGUCGAUAAAUUUCAACGUGCGAAGACGAAACGAGUCAAUAGCAAAAUCCCCAAAAGCUAAUUAAAUGUUAUUAUGGGGGAAAACUGAUUUUGAAAUCAAUUAGAGCAUACUUACCGUUUCUUGAUAGAAUUAUGGGGAAGAUGUUGCAAUUGGCAGGUAAUGAGCGUUUUCCACAAAGGAAAUCAUCAGAUAAUUUUGGAGUAAACCAAUAUUGGAUUCACAAGGUUCAAUCUUUAGCUGCAUCAUAGAGGUAUUUG
rnacentral:lncRNA from 1 species